rnacentral:rRNA from 1 species
CCUACGGGGGGCAGCAGUGGGGAAUAUCGGACAAUGGGGGGAACCCUGAUCCAGCCAUGCCGCGUGUGUGAAGAAGGCCCUCGGGUUGUAAAGCACUUUCAGUGAGGAAGAACGCCUGGUGGUUAAUACCCAUCAGGAAAGACAUCACUCACAGAAGAAGCACCGGCUAACUCCGUGCCAGCAGCCGCGGUAAUACGGAGGGUGCGAGCGUUAAUCGGAAUUACUGGGCGUAAAGCGCGCGUAGGUGGCUUGAUAAGCCGGUUGUGAAAGCCCCGGGCUCAACCUGGGAACGGCAUCCGGAACUGUCAAGCUAGAGUGCAGGAGAGGAAGGUAGAAUUCCCGGUGUAGCGGUGAAAUGCGUAGAGAUCGGGAGGAAUACCAGUGGCGAAGGCGGCCUUCUGGACUGACACUGACACUGAGGUGCGAAAGCGUGGGUAGCAAACAGGAUUAGAUACCCUUGUAGUC